GAUGAACGCUGGCGGCGUGCCUAAUACAUGCAAGUCGAGCGAACAGACGAGGAGCUUGCUCCUCUGACGUUAGCGGCGGACGGGUGAGUAACACGUGGAUAACCUACCUAUAAGACUGGGAUAACUUCGGGAAACCGGAGCUAAUACCGGAUAAUAUAUUGAACCGCAUGGUUCAAUAGUGAAAGACGGUUUUGCUGUCACUUAUAGAUGGAUCCGCGCCGCAUUAGCUAGUUGGUAAGGUAACGGCUUACCAAGGCAACGAUGCGUAGCCGACCUGAGAGGGUGAUCGGCCACACUGGAACUGAGACACGGUCCAGACUCCUACGGGAGGCAGCAGUAGGGAAUCUUACGCAAUGGGCGAAAGCCUGACGGAGCAACGCCGCGUGAGUUAUGAAGGUCUUCGGAUCGUAAAACUCUGUUAUUAGGGAAGAACAAAUGUGUAAGUAACUAUGCACGUCUUGACGGUACCUAAUCAGAAAGCCACGGCUAACUACGUG
rnacentral:rRNA from 1 species